rfam:Pseudomonas putida KT2440 complete genome.
GAGGUGACGGGCAUGGAUGCCCGUCAAGCGCUGAGGCCCCAUGGAUGGGGCCUGCAGCGCGUACUC